rnacentral:rRNA from 1 species
UCCGUAGGUGAACCUGCGGAAGGAUCAUUAGUGAAUUUAGAGCGUAACUUCGGUUAGCUCAACCUUCAUUUUCCAACUCUGUGCACUAUUGGCGGACUGGGAGCAAGUAAUUGCUAUUCAGUCUGCGGCUCACUAUUAAACAUUAGUUAAAGUAUGUAUAUAAAAACAAAACAAAAAAACUUUCAACAACGGAUCUCUUGGCUCUCGCAUCGAUGAAGAACGCAGCGAAAUGUGAUAAGUAAUGUGAAUUGCAGAAUUCAGUGAAUCAUCGAAUCUUUGAACGCACCUUGCGCUCUCUGGUAUUCCGGAGAGCAUGUCUGUUUGAGUGUCAUGAACUCUUCAACCUACCGAUUUCUAGUAAAUCGGAUUAGUGUUUGGAUUUUGAACGCUUGCUGGCCUUUAUUGGCGAAGCUCGUUCGUAAAUGAUUAGCAUCUCAUAUUCGAAAAUCGGAUUGACUCAGUGUAAUAGACUAUUCGCUGAGGACGCUCUUUCGGGAGUGGCCGAGUUUUGUAAAGUAGAAGCUUCUAAUUCUAUUAGUCAACUUUAGAUUAGACCUCAGAUCAGGCAGGAUUACCCGCUGAACUUAAGCAUAUCAAUAAGCGGAGGAAAAG